rnacentral:rRNA from 1 species
UACGAAGGGGGCUAGCGUUGUUCGGAAUUACUGGGCGUAAAGGGCGCGCAGGCGGCUUGGCGUGUCGGGCGUGAAAGGCCUGGGCUCAACCCGGGAAAUGCGCCCGCGACUGCUGGGCUAGAGUGUGGGAGAGGAUGGUGGAAUUCCCAGUGUAGAGGUGAAAUUCGUAGAUAUUGGGAAGAACACCGGUGGCGAAGGCGGCCAUCUGGACCACAACUGACGCUGAGGCGCGAAAGCGUGGGGAGCAAACAGG